rnacentral:rRNA from 1 species
AUGAGGCAACGGGCGUCAAACUCCCUCGUCUUCACCCGAAAACAUGGGCAUCAGAUAUCAUCAGCGGGAAGGUAUGUUCUGCGAAGGAUGCUGAGACUAUUACAACAGCGGCGUAUGCCAUAUGGACCAGCCGAAACAAGGAAAAAAAGGGGAGAUCAACACUUCUCACCAAGCAAAGUUGCCCGAUGGGUAGCAGAGGUGCUACAGGAGGUAUCUAGUGCCACUCAUCCCACUGAUCACCAUGAGAAGAAACUAGUUAAGUGGAACCCUCCUCCUGAAAAUAUUAUAAAGAUAAAUGUAGAUGGAAGUUUUAAUCCUACAACUGGUACUGGGGCUACUGGAUGUGUGGCACGAGAUAGUAUGGGUCGAAUCCUUGCUGCAAGAAGUCGCUGGUAUAAUUCUGUGGCCAAUGCUCUGUCGGUGGAAGCGCUCGCAUAUCGUGAUGGUGUUGAUCUUGCAAAUACUUUGAACUUCCAGGGGUAA